rnacentral:rRNA from 1 species
CAUGCAAGUCGAACGCAGUAGCAAUACUGAGUGGCAAACGGGUGAGUAUAAUGUGGGAAUCUGCCUUUUGGUUUGGAAUAACACGGGGAAACUUGUGCUAAUACCGAAUAAGCCCUUACGGGGAAAGUUUUAAUGCCGAAAGAUGAGCCCGCACUUGAUUAGCUAGUUGGUAAGGUAAAAGCUUACCAAGGCAACGAUCAAUAGCUGUUCUUAGAGGAAGACCAGCCACAUUGGGACUGAGACACGGCCCAGACUCCUACGGGAGGCAGCAGUGGGGAAUCUUGCACAAUGGGGGAAACCCUGAUGCAGCGAUGCCGCGUGAGUGAAGAAGGCCCUUGGGUUGUAAAACUCUUUCGUCGGGGAAGAAAAUGACUGUACCCGAAUAAGAAGGUCCGGCUAACUUCGUGCCAGCAGCCGCGGUAAUACGAAGGGACCUAGCGUAGUUCGGAAUUACUGGGCUUAAAGAGCUCGUAGGUGGUUAAAAAAGUUGGUGGUGAAAUCCCAAGGCUCAACCUUGGAACUGCCAUCAAAACUUUUUAGCUAGAGUGUGAUAGAGGUAAGUGGAAUUUCUAGUGUAGAGGUGAAAUUCGUAGAUAUUAG